ACGGAAGGCUAGUAGUAUGGGCCCUUCCCGAAGUAAUUCGAGACAGCAAAUUUGGCUAUAUCGGUGGACACCCCGGCAUAACGCCGGGACAAUACCGAGGCAAUCCAUGUUCAUGUAAACUGAACGUGGCGAGUCCGUAGAGACUACACGCCAAACUCCCGACUAAGUCGGGAUGAUGAUAUAGUCCGACACUCAAAGUAAUUUGAGA
rnacentral:ncRNA from 1 species